UCAAGCCUAGAUCAGAAAAGUUAGAACAUCUAACUUGCAAGGUAAUAGAUCUGAUCUAUUAUAUUUUACAUACAUUAGAUGUAGUAUAGAAACAUGUUGAUAUGAUCAACAUAUAGUUCUUGCUCUUUAUAUUUUAAUUUUUGAUUUAAUAUUAUAUAAUAAUCAUGUAAUAGAAUUCUAGAUUUAGAGAUUCUCUAAUUUUAUAAGAUAAAUUUUGAUUUAUUUUAGUCUUCUGUUGCCUGAUCUUGA
rnacentral:lncRNA from 1 species